GUCCUGUAGCUACUUCUGAAGGUCGAAGAAUUUUUUUGACUAGUCCCGACCGUAGUCAGCCUGAGUUGGAAGCCAGGAUGAGCUCCCUUCCAAUUGGUCGAUCUUCUCCCAUGCGACCGCCAACUCGACCUCGAGGGAGCUGAUCUUGGAGGCCUGAGUCCAAGAUCGAUCGUUGGCACAUUUUUGAAGUUCCUCAAGCUUCUUCUCGAAGUUGGCCUUCUUCCGGC
rnacentral:lncRNA from 1 species